ACUUAUAAAGUAAUUUUCAUGUUUUCAGGCACUUACUUAUCAAAACAUAGAAAAUAAAUUGUAUGAGGCACAAACAGGCCAAAACAAAACCUCCACAUUUGUCGUUUUCCCGUCAAAAGGAUAUCAUUGCUCAUGUAUAAUAGGACAGUGGGGCGAUAUUUUGAGAAUGUGACCCUCCUCUUAUCUGUGCGGUCAUUUCCAUCUCCUAUUUGAAGCCCUCUGAGGAAUGCUUUGUUGUCAAGCCGGCCGUCAUUUAGCAGAGGGGGAUGCCCGAGGGCGCCUGGCCUGACUGUUUAAUGGCUUGUAAAGUAGGGAUAAGCAGCGGUCUGGAGGCGUAAAGCCAUUCGGUGUGAGCUGAAUCCGGCCGGCGGUUGUUGAAGACCAGCCAGCAGGGACAGGAAGCAGAGGAGCUCCCACAUUAAAAGAGCUAAGAUGGACGAUGCCGCCACCCGAAACAUCAUUUGACACUCAGCUGCAUCUGGAACAUCUGCUGUGACGGGCCCGUCGGGGCGGCGUUCGCUUCACCUCGGCGUGCGGAACCCUCCUGCGAUAUCUGGGGACACUUAUUGAAAGCGAUCCAGGUAAACUAGCUGCAGUCCGCCACCUAAACAACAGAACACACGCUUUGCAUAUUUGUCCCUACGACAGCCUCUCAACCAGCCCGAGACCUGCUACGAUUUAUCCUAUGUGUGAUAUUGCUGACGGACAUUUUAUGUGGAGCAUCAAAACAAAUCCCCACCACACAGCGAGAGCCUAGAUACAUUUGUAUUAAUUCACAUAUGAAAAAACAAAUAAAACCAACUUAGCCGUGAGG